GGUGGCUCAGUGGUAGAGCACUUGUCUUGCAUGCAUGAGGUCCUGGAUUCGAUUCCUCAGCACCA
rnacentral:tRNA from 1 species